AAGGCAGCAGGCACGCAAAUUACCCACUCCCGGCACGGGGAGGUAGUGACAAAAAAUAACGAUACGGGACUCAUCCGAGGCCCCGUAAUCGGAAUGAGUACACUUUAAAUCCUUUAACAAGGAUCCAAUGGAGGGCAAGUCUGGUGCCAGCAGCCGCGGUAAUUCCAGCUCCAUUAGCGUAUAUUAAAGUUGUUGCGGUUAAAAAGCUCGUAGUUGGUUCUGCGUCCCACGAUGCUGGUUCACCGCCUGACGGUGCAACUGGCAUGCCGUGGGAUGUCCUGUCGGUGGUGGCCUCGGCCCACGGCGUGUGUAGGUUUAUUCCGAAGCACGUCGUGUGCAGUCGAGGAUCGCCGAUCCAAUCCUGCCUCGGUGCUCUUUAUUGAGUGUCGAGGUGGGCCGACACGUUUACUUUGAACAAAUUAGAGUGCUCAAAGCAGGCUAACAAUGCCUGGAUAUUGGUGCAUGGAAUAAUGGAAUAGGACCUCGGUUCUAUUUUGUUGGUUUUCGGAAUCCGAGGUAAUGAUCAAUAUGGACAGGCGGGGGCAUUCGUAUUGCGACGUUAGAGGUGAAAUUCUUGGAUCGUCGCAAGACGGACUAGAGCGAAAGCAUUUGCCAAGUAUGUCUUAGUUGAUCAAGAACGAAAGUUAGAGGUUCGAAGGCGAUCAGAUACCGCCCUAGUUCUAACCAUAAACGAUGCCAGCCAGCGAUCCGCCGAUGUUCCUCCGAUGACUCGG
rnacentral:rRNA from 1 species